rnacentral:sRNA from 1 species
GCCAGGAGUGGUAGUGCACACCUGUAAUCCCAGCGGCUCAGGAGGCUGAGACAGAAGGAUCACAAGUUCGAAGCCAGCCUCAGCAAUGGUGAGGCACUAAGCAACUCAGUGAGAAUCUGCCUCUA